rnacentral:lncRNA from 1 species
UUGAAGUUAAAGUGCUUUUCGCCGCCUCACGCUUCACUCUCGUCGUUCACCCUCACCCUCACUCUCUCUCACUCUCACUCACUCUCACCCUCACUCUCUCUCACUCUCACUCACUCUCCCACUCUCACGUACAAGAUUGGGGAUUGAAUUGGUUUUAGGGUUUUGAUACAUACCUUCCACGUGCUCAUUUCGAAUAUCUACUUUCACAAAUUGCUUUUGUAGUGGUUUCCAUUUUUAUUAAUUGGCUGAUAUGUAAAUGCAAUUGCAACGGUGAGCCUUUGUCCUUAAUUGCUAAUUUUAUCAGAAUCUUCAAUUGCUCUAACAAAUGUAUCACACUCUCUUUGUAGUUAAUUUAUUACAAAGAAUGUCAAUAAUUGAUGCAAUGCUGACCUGCAAAGGUGACACACCAUUGAAGGUGUUUGUCUUUAAUUCAAAGAGGAAGAACAACAACAAGUUAGUGAUAUGCUGAUUUGCAAACCUAAAG